rnacentral:rRNA from 1 species
CAUAUCAAUAAGCGGAGGAAAAGAAACCAACAGGGAUUGCCUCAGUAACGGCGAGUGAAGCGGCAAAAGCUCAAAUUUGAAACCUUCGGGAUUGUAAUUUGAAGAUUUGGCAUUGGAAAAAGCUACCCCAAGUUGCUUGGAAUAGUACGUCAUAGAGGGUGACAACCCCGUCUGGCUAACCGUUUUCCAUUGUAUUGCCUUAUCAAAGAGUCGAGUUGUUUGGGAAUGCAGCUCAAAGUGGGUGGUAAACUCCAUCUAAAGCUAAAUACUGGUGAGAGACCGAUAGCGAACAAGUACUGUGAAGGAAAGGUGAAAAGAACUUUGAAAAGAGAGUGAAAUAGUAUGUGAAAUUGUUGAUAGGGAAGGAAUGAGUGGAGAGUGGACGAGGUUUCUGUGCCCCCUCGGGGGUACGUACUGCCAACUCCGAGUCAACGUCAGCGAGACGGGGUGUAUAAACGGGUGUCUUCGGACUCUCACCUACUCCCCCCCACUGCCGUCGUCGACAUAAUCCACCCAUUUCACCCGUCUUGAAACACGGACCAAGGGAGUCUAAUGGGAUAUGUGAGUGUUA